rnacentral:rRNA from 1 species
UACGGAGGGUGCGAGCGUUAAUCGGAAUUACUGGGCGUAAAGGGUUCGUAGGCGGUUUGAUAAGUUAAGUGUGAAAGACCCGGGCUUAACCUGGGGUAGUCAUUUAAGACUGUCAGACUAGAGUAUGGGAGAGGGUAGUGGAAUUUCCGGUGUAGCGGUGAAAUGCGUAGAGAUCGGAAGGAACACCAGUGGCGAAGGCGGCUACCUGGCCUAAUACUGACGCUGAGGAACGAAAGCAUGGGGAGCAAACAGG